UACGGAGGGUGCAAGCGUUAAUCGGAAUUACUGGGCGUAAAGCGCACGCAGGCGGUCUGUCAAGUCGGAUGUGAAAUCCCCGGGCUCAACCUGGGAACUGCAUUCGAAACUGGCAGGCUAGAGUCUUGUAGAGGGGGGGUAGAAUUCCCAGGUGUAGCGGUGAAAUGCGUAGAGAUCUGGAGGAAUACCGGUGGCGAAGGCGGCCCCCUGGACAAAGACUGACGCUCAGGUGCGAAAGCGUGGGGAGCAAACAGG
rnacentral:rRNA from 1 species